rnacentral:lncRNA from 1 species
UUUAGGAUGACAGAGAUUUGCUUUUUGGACAGUUUCGACUAUUGCCAAAAGGUGGGCUUGGGGGCACAAUGGGUAAAUGUCAUGCUGUUAUCGCUUGCUUUUCUAGUCUGAGUGACAAGAGAUUCUGUUGGAUGUAUUGUUACGUGUAUUGAGAUAAACCUCCCACGUGAGCUUGGUUCACCAGCUUUUUACAAACUUGAAGCUGAGUUGGAUGAAGAUCCAAGCGUGAAGAAGAUCAUCCAAGAGUUCGAUCGUGUGGUCCCGAAUUGUGUCUUUUAACGGAUCACCUGGGUACCGAGUAAAGUCGGCAUUGUUGCGUGGCGUGCCGAAGGAGACAGGUUGCCAACUAGAGUUGCUCUUGCGAAAAGAGGUAUUCCAGUUUUGAGGACUUGAAUGUGUUCUAUGUGCGGAAUUCAAGGAAACGUGUGAGCAUAUUUUUGUGUCGUGCCAGUUCUCACAUGUGGUAUGGCAACUUAUUGGUCAAUGGUGCAAAACUAAUUCACUGUAUGUUUUCAGUUUUGGACCUGCACAAAUGGGUCCUAUUAGGUAAAAGGAGGCAAAACUCUUUUCAUGUUAUUUCCUUAGUUACGAUUUAGAGCAUAUAGAGGCAUAGAAAUUAAUUGGCCUUUUGACAAAAGCCGGUGUUCGUUUCAAAUGUAAUUGAUGAGAUUAAUUUAAUGAGUUUUCUUUGGGUCAGGAAUCGUGCAAAAGAGUGUGAUUACGUGGGAGAGGUGGAAGUCAUUUGAUGUGUUUUGGUUACUUCUAUUUAUUUAUUUAUUUUU